rnacentral:rRNA from 1 species
UACGUAGGGACCAAGCGUUGUUCGGAUUUACUGGGCGUAAAGGGUGCGUAGGCGGCGCGGUAAGUUGGGUGUGAAAUCCCUCGGCUCAACCGAGGAAUAGCGCUCGAUACUGCCGUGCUUGAGGGAGACAGAGGUGAGUGGAACUUAGGGUGGAGCGGUGAAAUGCGUUGAUAUCCUAAGGAACACCAGUGGCGAAAGCGAACUCACUGGGUCUCUACUGACGCUGAGGCACGAAAAGCUAGGGGAGCGAA